rnacentral:lncRNA from 1 species
ACUAGAGCUUUUUAUUAACUCAAGUGGGAGUAAGACCUGGCACUGAAUUGGUCUGGUAACUUCUUUCUUGCAGCAGACAUUUAUUGAGCUGCUACUAUAUGCCACUGACUAGGGCUGUAGGAGAGGCAAAGAUAAAUAUGGGAUCAUACCUACAGGGAGCUUGCUUGUAAAAUAGUUGGGGACAAAUGCAACUUUUGCAACCUACCUUUGAAGACCCCAUCAGCUUAAGGUUCCACUCUUGGAGUAAAUGGAGAAAUUUAUAACUGCGCGAUAACACCGCCCUGACCUUCUCUACUCAGCGUGAGAAUUAAUUACCUGAGGCCAGUCCUAUGGAACAUUGUGAAGGCACGAUUCAAAGACGCCAGCCAACCAUCUGGCACUUGAAAGAGGCUAAGAAAGCCAGUUCCAUGGACUCUCCCCAUCAUGGCAUCGGCGGUGAGGAAGAACACUCCUAAAAGAGUGGGGGCCUGUACUGGCAGCCUAGGGCUUAUCUGCAGGAUGGAAAAGCUUCCAGGACAUAAGCCCAUCACAGGGCUUACCCAGCUGCCUUUGAGAAAUGUUUGGGGUCACAUUGGCUAAAAUUAAGUACUUUGUGGUGAACUGGAUUUGACUGGAACUAAAGGAUCGACUUCCAAGCUCACUCCUGUGGCUGUCGGCAGGAGGCUUCAGUUCCUUACCACAUAGACCUUUCCACAGCAUGAGGGCUCCAGUGUCUGCAGAUUUGACUGGAACUAGAGGAUCAACUUCCAAGCUGGAACUAGAGGAUCAACUUCCAAGCUCACUCCUAUGGGUGCUGGCAGGACGCUUCAGUUCCUCACCACAUAGACCUUUUCACAGCAUGGCUUCCUCUAAAUUCUCCUGGCCAACUCUUCAAUAGCACAGGUCCAAGACCGCCAUGACAUAGGAAUGGAUGAACAGUUGAUAUGGAUCAUGCGUGGGGGAUAGAAGGUGAACGUCGGUGAACAGGCUCGGUCAUCCCCUUCCCUGAGGUGCUUGCUUCCUUCCACUCAUGCCUUUGUGUGAUCUCGCCCCUUAAGUAUGGGCAGGGCUUCUGACUUGCUUCUGACCAACGGAACGUGGCAAAGUCAAUGGGAGGCCACUCUGUGAUGACGCUGGGUUAAAAAAGACCCUGUGUCACUAGCAGAUGUGUUCUGCUCUCUCUUCAUUUGUUGGCUUCGAAGAAGCAAACUGCCAUGGACUCAGCUGAAAGGAGUCAAAUGCCUCCAACAAUCACAUAAGCAGGGAAGUGGACACUUCCCUGGUGGAGCCUCUGGUGAGAACCCAGCCCUGGCUGACGCAUUAAUUGCAGCCUGUGAGACCUUUAGCAGAAGCCCUCCUGAUCCACAGAAACUGUGAGAUAAUAAGCCACUAAGUUUGUUGUAAUUUGUUAUGGGGCAUAGAUAACUAGUACACGCAGUCCUACUGAGAUUUUCUCUCUCCCUCUUUUUUUUUUUCUAUGAAUAAACUCCUUUCUAUUUUUGAGCUUUCCUUUCCAAGUCACACAUUUUAUUUCAAAUAAUUGAUAGUUGUAAUAAUCAGCUUGCUGCUUGAAAAUACCCGCAAGCCUCGGGGUAUAUUGUCUUAGUCUGUUUUCUGUUGCUAUAACUAAAUAACUAAAAGUAGGUAACUUAUAAAGGAAAGAAGGUUAUUUCUUACAGUUCUAGAGACUGAGGCUGGGAAGUCCAAAGCUGAGAGGUCACAUUUGGUGAGGGCUUCUUGCUGGUGAGGACCCUCUGUAGAGUACUGAGGUGGUUCAGGGUAUCACAUAGACAGAGGGGCUCACUGAGAGCCAGACUGGCUUUUAUAACAGACCCACUCUUGUGAUAACUUGCCUACUCCUAUGAUAACUCAUUAAUUCAUUAAUCCAUGAAUGGAUGAAUCCAUACAUGAAGGCAGGAUGGAUUAAUGUGCCUUCAUGUCCCAGUUACCUCUGAAAGGCCCCACCUCUUGAUACUGUUAUAUUGGGUAUUAAGUUUCAACAUGAAUUUGGGAGGGGACAAAUAUUCAAACCAUAGCACACACCAUAGAAACUUCUUGCUCAUGCAUCUAUAGGUCAGCCAGGAUUGGUUAAUCUAGGCCGGCUAUUGCACUUGGCUGCAAGCUCCAUGCUGAAUGGGCAUCUGCUCCAUGAGUGUCUCAUCCUCCUUGGACCAGGGGACAAGUGAGGCAUGUUCUUCUCACAAUGUGCAACAUGCCAAGUCCAACUGUGAGGCAUAUUUCAAUUCUUGCUUGGGUGAGGAGUGUUGACAUACCAUCGCUCAAAGCAAGUCACAUGGCCAAGCUCAAAGUCAAGGGACAGGAAAGUAUACUCCCUAGACUCCAAGGCCAUGGUAUGGAGCAGGUGGACUGGGGGAAGUACUGGGAGCAGUAAGUCAAUCUCCCAG